rnacentral:rRNA from 1 species
CCUGGAGGAAGGUGGGGAUGACGUCAAAUCAUCAUGCCCCUUAUGCUUAGGGCUACACACGUGCUACAAUGGGUAGUACAGAGGGUUGCCAAGCCGUAAGGUGGAGCUAAUCCCUUAAAGCUACUCUCAGUUCGGAUUGUAGGCUGAAACUCGCCUACAUGAAGCUGGAGUUACUAGUAAUCGCAGAUCAGAAUGCUGCGGUGAAUGCGUUCCCGGGUCUUGUACACACCGCCCGUCACACCACGGGAGUUGGAGACGCCCGAAGCCGAUUAUCUAACCUUUUGGAAGAAGUCGUCGAAGGUGGAAUCAAUAACUGGGGUGAAGUCGUAACAAGGUAGCCGUAUCGGAAGGUGCGGCUGGAUCACCUCCUUUCUAAGGAGA